rnacentral:rRNA from 1 species
CAAUAGCGUAUAUUUAAGUUGUUGCAGUUAAAAAGCUCGUAGUUGGAUUUCGGAUGGGAUUUGCCGGUCCGUCGUUACGAUGUGCACUGGCCAGUCCUAUCUUGUUGUCGGGGACUAGCUCCUUGGAUUCACUUCCUGGGACUAGGAGCUGACGAGGUUACUUUGAGUAAAUUAGAGUGUUCAAAGCAAGCCUACGCUCUGAAUACAUUAGCAUGGAAUAACACGAUAGGACUCUGGCUUAUCUUGUUGGUCUGUGAGGCCAGAGUAAUGAUUAAGAGGGACAGUCGGGGACAUUCGUAUUUCAUUGUCAGAGGUGAAAUUCUUGGAUUUAUGAAAGACGAACUUCUGCGAAAGCAUUUGUCAAGGAUGUUUUCAUUA